CUAGAGGCGACUCUGCACUUCAGUUCUGACGGCGCGCGCGCAGCACACUCUCCGAGCGCGUCAAUUUCAAGUGGGAUUUACGCAUAUAUAUACAUUUAUAUAAAAAGCUUCUCGAGACAUUGGAAGUGCAUGUGACCUCGAAGGGAAAAGUGACAGCAGGACCAUGUUUGUCUCCGGGGUUGUGCCGGUAUUGCUGUGCUGCGUUGUGCAGUUGAGCGUCGCGCGCAGGAGCGGUGCUGAAGACGGAGAGACUGUGGAGAAGAUUAACAGCGCGCGCUGCACCUCGCGCUGCCUCACUCUGCACAUCACUCAGCUCACCUCCGCCUUCAGACGCCUUCAGAGUGAUGAGGUUCUGGGCUGGUGCGAAAGCCAUAGGAGAUGUGCUCAGUGCCUACAGCCAUGCAAGGAAUUAUGGGAAACCAGGAGAGUUCUUUCUCACAAGUUUUGCGAGAAGCACCACGAGUGUGUGACCAGUGCUGAGUUCUUGCAGUCACUGCAGAUGCAGAAGCAGGGCGAUUGUCCUUCUCCUCAAAGAGCGUCAGGCUUUGCAGCCGCCUGCGUGGAGAGCUGUAGCGCCGAUCGUGAGUGCUCUGGCUCUAAAAGGUGCUGUUCCAACGGAUGCGGCCACACCUGCCAAGCACCAACCAACCUUUAUAAAGGCGUCCCCCUGAAGCCAAGGAAAGACAUGGCCUUUUUAGAGGACCAGUACGGACAGCUGGAGGUGACAUGGAUGUCUAAGUUCAAUGUGUCUAUUGAGCCAGUGCUGUAUAUUCUGCAGAGGAGAUGGAACCAUGGCAUUCAUCCCAGCGAGGACGACGCCUCACCCUGGCACACUGUUAUGAUGACCAUGGAAGAGCGGGCCUUGCUGAAGGAUGUCCGGCCCCACAGGUGGUACCAGUUUCGGGUGAGUGCAGUGAACAGCCAGGGCACACGUGGCUUCACCACUCCCAGCAAGCACUUCUUCUCAACACGAGACCCGUUGCCCCCAGAGAGGCCGCAGAACAUCAGCACUGGGAAUCAGACUGCGAGCGCUGACGGCAGGGUGAUCGUGCUGCUUCGCUGGGACCCCCCCAGAGAGGGAGACCUGCAACUCCACCAUUACAAAGUGACCUGGAGCGGCCCGAGUGGAAAGGAAAGCAGCAGGGUCGUAGACGGGACUCUGACGGAGAUGGAGCUGGGAGGACUCCAGCCAGACACACACUACAUAGUGAACAUUCAGGCAGUUUCUUUCUGGGGACAGAAGCGGUUGAAGAGUGGCCGUGCACAGAUCUCCUUCAAAACCGCUGCUUCCACCGGCUCCUCGCCAAUCUCACGGGACUUUUCCAACGAGCUGCCUAUCUCCCGUUCGUCUCCCAGAGUCCUCCGACUUGAGGCCGCGGCUCCCCACUACCACAGCAACCAGCUGCAGGUCAAGGUGUUUUGGAAGAGUCGACUCCCAGAAAACCAGAGGGGUUCCACUUCAUACCUUUUAAGUUGGUUUCCAGAGGUAUGUGCUAAUAACAUGACCAAGAGAGAGAGAACGGCUACUGUACAGGGCACACAUUUUGUCAUCACAGGCCUUCUCUUUGCCUGUAAGUACAAAGUGACUGUGACACCACUCUCUGAGAAUGGAGAGAAGGCCGGGGCCGUGACCUCUGUCACUACCCCACAGUGCUCGACGCUGAAAGGCCGUGGGAAGAAGCUACUGUCCUGUGCCCAUGAUGAGCGCCAUCUGCAGGCAAAGAAAGCACUUCAGCGCCCCGAGAAGUUGUUAGCAGUGUUUCAGACGGUGAACGGCUCCCUGGAAGGUCUGUUCAGCUGGCAGGUGUCUGAGAUCACACCCGGCCAGACACCCAUCACAGGAUUUCAGUUCUCCUGGGUCAAAGUCUCCAGCAGCCAUGCGAACAAAUCUUCAGAUUCACUCAUCUCGCAAACGCUAAAUCUGGCGCCUGAUCAGCGCUCGGUCAGGGUGGGGCAGCUCCAGCCAAAGUGUGUGUACAAGGUGCAGGUGCAGGCGUUGUGUGAAGCAGGCAGUGGGCCCUCAGUGGCCAGAAUGAUAAACACUCCACAGCUUAACGGCACGCUGCUAUGAGCCAACUGAGAAUAGUCUGGAUUUUAGUGCGAGAAGUUGCUGCCACAUGGGCUGUACAUAAACAUCUGAUCUCUCCGGUUCCCUCCAGAAAAAUGUAUUUCCUCAGCUGAUAUGCUUGGAACCACGGUUACAUUGCAUGAUGCCAACAUUUCAAUUAAAGUCUAAAAAAAAAAAGAUUCAGUAACAGUGAAAGUUUUGUAAGUUAAAUGUUCAGAAGAGAUUUGAAGGCUAUAUUAUUUAAGUGUACUUUAUCAUGUAAAAAUGUGUAGCACUGAUGUAUGUAGUGUGUAGUGAGAGUUGUGUACUGCUUUAUUUGUUAUCCUGUUAGUUCAUGUAUUACAUUUUUUUUUUCAUGUUUAGUACUAACACCUUUCUGUUUCUGAAUAGGAAACAUUUUUGUGCUGUGCAAGUAUAGUUCUAAAUUAUUUUUCAACUUAUUUUUAAACAUUUUACAUUUUUAGGAUCCACUUACAGUCUACUGUAAUCUUGAAGUAUUUAUUGUGAUGUGCUAAAAAAGUGGAAGGUGUCUAUGAUUCUGAGCUCUGUGCUGAUAUUUAGCUAAAAAUCCCUUUCAUUACCUAUAUAUAUUCCACACCAGGUAUCAAAUUGUCUUACAAAAAGCACACAACACCUGGUUGAAGUUAUGAUUCUAAAAUUGAAAGCUUUGCUUGAAUUAAAACAAAACGAACUCUUAUCAGGCUUAUGGUUAUUACACAAAUUAAUAAUGCCUUAUGUCAUCAGUGCCAAAAAAUGUGUUAUGAACAGUAGUGUACAGUAUUUGGAAUGGUAUAACGACACGUGAACUUUUGAAUCAAUGUUGCUAAUUCCAUUGUAAUGAAAUCAUUUUAUUCAUUUUGUUCGGAUGUUGUUUCCAUUGUACAAAAAUGUUAUACUUUCUGUAAAUAUUGCACUUGUGUUGUUACAAAUAAACGUUUAAGUAAAUUCAUGA